UAUUGGUGCAACAGAGUGUGACCAAGUCAUCAUCCCAGGACCUGACUCCUGUGGUCAAGUCUGUUGACAGCCCCCUACCAAGAGGAUCUCCACUGAAAGAGGAGAAUUCCCAAUAGUCUCCGAGUUUCUUUCAUCUAUUUCUCAAGAAGGCUUGUUGGUCUGUGUGGACAAUAGGGACCAAUGUCCUAGGACCUCUGACCUUUGCGGUUAAGUCCAUUACUGGACCUCACCGAGAAGAUCUCCCCUGCAGUAGAUUUCUCCAAAGCCUCUGUGUUCCCAGCACCUAUAUCUUGAGGAGGCUCAUGGGUGUGCACAGCCAGUAGAAACUAGGCCAUCAGGUCCUAGGACCUCUGACCUCCUCCCAUUGGAGAGGACCGCCCCCUCCUCCCGUUGGAGCUUCCCUGCAGGAGGACACUUCUACAAGGCCUCCAAGUUACCCCCCUAUUUCCUGAGGUGAGUGUGCGUGAGGACACACACGCGAAGACAAACGCAAGCACACAUAAUGACAUGAGGCCGAGUAAGUGAGGAUUCUGAGGGAGAGCCCUCAGUGGUCCCUCACGGCUUCAUGAAAACAUGUGGAAUGGCCAGGGGCUCACUGUGUCACCAAGGAAGACUUGAAACUGCUGUGUCCACUGUCACCACCUUUGGGAGUACCAAGAUCACAGGUCUGAGCUCCCGCGCCUCGGUGCGAGGAGGGAACUGGUGGCUUCCUUCCUGCAUGCUAGGCUAGCACUCUGCCAGCUGAAAUUACUCCCAGUAACACUACGCCUUCUUAUAUUAAAAUGAUUUGAAUCACA